GGUGAAUUAUUGGGCCUCUGGCAACAGUCAUCAAACCAGUAAUACGCGGCUGUGCUGAGUACGAUAAUCGGUGCGCGCCAAAAUCACUCGGCUGAUCGUCCAAACAAACUCUCCUCAACGACGUGUUUUCAGGAGUGUUUGCAGUGUUUUGGGAGACCAUGGGUGACAGCAGUAGUGAAGAUGAAGUUUUCUUUGGCCCAAUAACACAAAAGGAGAAGAAAAUAGCUGCAAGAUAUCACGGCAGGAAGACCUUGAUACUGCCUCAGCGCAACCCACUCUACCGACGCUGGUCCACCACCCUUGCAAGUGACUUCAGCGGCUCUCUGUCCCCCGCCUGCUGUUCCUAUCAACUGUAAAGUGGAAGAUGCUGGAGAAACUGCUACUUAUACGUGUGAUGAAGGCUACACGUUAUUCGGACCUUCCACGCGAUCUUGCAACUCCGCUGGGAUCUGGGAUGGGAACCUACCGAUUUGUGCUACCAACAUCGCCUACCUUCGACCGGCCAACCAGAGCUCAACCACAAGGGGGGCAGAGCCAUUCAAGGCCAACGAUGGGAUAAACUCGCAUUUGCACGAAGGAAAUCAGUGUGCCGCUACCCAGGCUGAGACAUCCCCGUGGUGGAAGGUCGACCUACUGCAAGAAUACACGGUUGUUGUGGUUGUCGUCACUACAAGGGCGUGCUGUGACUCGCCCGCACUUAUGAACUUGGAAAUUCGGGUUGGAAAUUCACUUGACAUUCAGAAGAACAGGCUAUGUGCGUGGGAGCCUGGAAAAGUGGAGGAAGGGAGUAAUGUCAAAUUUGAAUGCGCUCUACCGCUGAAGGGCAGAUAUGUCAUAUUGCAAACGGCCGGUCGAGAAAGUGAGCUAUCUCUCUGCGAGGUGGAGGUCUACAGCACGGAAGACACACCUUUGCAUUCGACCACGAUUUCUACCACUCUUCCACAAUCGACCAGGCGCUAACUACCACUGGAGCACACUACCAGAAUCCCUCUACUGGUCUACCAAAAUUCGACCGGCCAACACACACACACACACACACACACACACACACACACACACACACACACACACACACACAUCUGGGAAAGAGUUCGCGAAAGAGCGAUGUUCUGCUACAGCUGAUAUCAAGACCAUUGGGGUAUUUAACAAGACCUGCUAUCAAUUCAAAGUAGACGAUGGAAGCUCAUUUGACUCCGCGCGGGAAAAAUGUAAACAAGCCGACGCCACCAUCACCGCCUCAGCGCGAAAUACCUCCCACCCUUCUGUCUCUCGCUCUAUCUCUCCGGAUCUCGCUCACUCGCUCACCGCCGUGACUCACCUCUGAGUUAGAGCGACGAGAGACAGCUUUGAAAGGAGACCUGGUGUGGAUCGGGCUGAGGAGAGACCCGGGAUUUAUUUCGCGGACAUGGCGUUGGGUGGACGGUACUGUAGUGACUGAGCCGAAGUGGGGGAAACAGCAACCAAACAACUACAACGGCAAGCAGGACUGUGUGGCGCUGGAUCGUGGUAGAAAAUGGUUGUGGAACGAUGUUGGUUGUGAGCUGGACUACCUACCAUAUAUCUGCAUGUCUGCCCCCAGGUCAUGCAGGUCGCCGGACAAGCAGGUCAACACCACGAUGGAGGUCACAGGUCACUCCACGGGUCAAAUCGUGACCUAUACAUGUCCAGUCGGGUCCAAACUUGUCGGAAACACGUCGAGAACAUGUUUGGAGGAUGGCGUGUGGAGUGGAGCGGCGCCAUCUUGCUUAUACAUCGAGUGUGGGGUUCCUGACGACAUAGAGGAUGGGAGCUACACGUACACAGGGGAGGCCAGAAAUACGUACACGGCCAAGACUACGUACACAUGUGCACAAAACUACUCGCUGGACGGGGCUCAUGUGCGCGUAUGUACGGACGCCCCAGAAACCUACAUGCCUGUACGCCCGGUGCCCCCCCCUGCCCCCGCCCCCCCACUCGACUAUCCAGGAGAACAGUAAU